rnacentral:rRNA from 1 species
GACGAACGCUGGCGGCGUGCUUAACACAUGCAAGUCGAACGGAAAGGCCCUGCUUUUGUGGGGUGCUCGAGUGGCGAACGGGUGAGUAACACGUGAGUAACCUGCCCUUGACUUUGGGAUAACUUCAGGAAACUGGGGCUAAUACCGGAUAGGAGCUCCUGCUGCAUGGUGGGGGUUGGAAAGUUUCGGCGGUUGGGGAUGGACUCGCGGCUUAUCAGCUUGUUGGUGGGGUAGUGGCUUACCAAGGCUUUGACGGGUAGCCGGCCUGAGAGGGUGACCGGCCACAUUGGGACUGAGAUACGGCCCAGACUCCUACGGGAGGCAGCAGUGAGGAAUAUUGCACAAUGGGCGGAAGCCUGAUGCAGCAACGCCGCGUGCGGGAUGACGGCCUUCGGGUUGUAAACCGCUUUCGCCUGUGACGAAGCGUGAGUGACGGUAAUGGGUAAAGAAGCACCGGCUAACUACGUG